UACAGAGGUCUCAAGCGUUUGUUCGGAUUCAUUGGGCGUAAAGGGUGUGUAGGUGGCGCGCUAAGUCGGGUGUGAAAUUUCGGAGCUUAACUCCGAAACUGCAUUCGAUACUGGCGUGCUUGAGGACUGGAGAGGAGACUGGAAUUCAUGGUGUAGCAGUGAAAUGCGUAGAGAUCGUAAGGAAGACCAGUGGCGAAGGCGGGUCUCUGGACAGUUCCUGACACUGAGGCACGAAGGCCAGGGGAGCAAACGGGG
rnacentral:rRNA from 1 species